rnacentral:rRNA from 1 species
AGAUUGAACGCUGGCGGCAUGCCUAACACAUGCAAGUCGAACGGGAGUAGCAAUACUCUAGUGGCGGACGGGUGAGGAAUACGUAGGAAUUUGCCCUUAAGUGGGGGAUAACCCGGGGAAACCCGGAUUAAUACCGCAUGACCUCGAAAGAGCAAAGUGGGGAUCGCAAGACCUCACGCUUUGGAGAAGCCUACGUCGGAUUAGCUAGUUGUGAGUAAUGGCUCACCAAGGCGACGAGUCCGUAACGUGGUCCUGAGAGGAUGAUCAGUCACACCGGAACUGACGACACGGUCCGACUCCGUACGGGAGGCAGCAGGUGGGAAUAGUGGACAAGUGGGCGCGAAGCCUGACUCCAG